CAUGUGGUUUAAUUUCGUAUGAUACGCGAGGAACCUUACCUUGGGCUCGAACGUAAGAUGACUGUAGGUGAAAGCUUACAUCUCUUCGGAGCAUUUUACGAGGUGCUGCAUGGUUGUCGUCAGCUCGUGCCGUGAGGUGUCGGGUUAAGUCCCAUAACGAGCGCAACCCCUACCUUAGUUGCCAUCAGGUUAAGCUGGGGACUCUAAAGGAACUGCCUACGCAAGUAGUGAGGAAGCGGGGAUGACGUCAAAUCAGCACGGCCCUUACGUCCAGGGCUACACACGUGCUACAAUGGCCGAUACAGAGGGCAGCUACCUGGUGACAGGAUGCAAAUCUCCAAAGUCGGUCUCAGUUCGGAUCGGAGUCUGCAACCCGACUCCGUGAAGUUGGAUUCGCUAGUAAUCGCGCAUCAGCCAUGGCGCGGUGAAUACGUUCCCGGGCCUU
rnacentral:rRNA from 1 species